GUUUAUGUGUGUUAGUGUGUGUGUUUGUGUGUUAGUGUAUGUGUGUUAGUGUGUGUGUUUGUGUAUGUGUGUUAGUGUGUGUGUGUGUGUGUUAGUGUAUGUGUAGUGUGUGUGUGUUUGUGUGUUAGUGUAUCUGUGUGUUAGUGUAUGUGUGUGUUAGUGUGUGUGUGUCAGUAUGUCUGUGUGUGUGUGUCAGUAUGUCUGUCUGUCUGUGUGUCAGUAUAUAUGUGUGUGUAUAUCUGUGUGUGUCAGUAUGUGUAUGUGUCAGUAUGUCUGUCAGUGCGUCAGUAUGUCUGUUAGUGCAUGUGUAUGCAUGUGUCAGUAUAUCUGUCUGUG